GGGCUUGUGGUUUAGUGGUAUAAUACUCCCUUAGCAUGGAGCGAUCCAAUAGCAUGUGAUUUAUCUCACGAUGGCUUCGUUUCUUUGUCUGGGAGUGGUCCGGGGUUCGAUUCCCCGCGAGUCCA